GGAAAACAUACUCGUUUUCCUGGCACUAUAGUGCCCUGAGGGUGCCCCCACCCUCAGGGACCCCCUCCCGCCCGGCUCUGGAAGGAGGAAAGGGUUAAAAACUUACCUUUUUCCAGCGCUGGGCGGAGAGCUCUCCUCCUCCUCCUCCUCCGUUCCUCCUCCUGGGCUGAAUGCGCACGCGCGGCAAGAGCUGCGCGCGCAUUCAGCCCGUCGCAUAGGAAAGCAUUUACAAUGCUUUCCUAUGGACGCUUGCGUGC